rnacentral:rRNA from 1 species
CGUAGAGAUCUGGAGGGAAUACCCGGUGGCGAAAGGCGGCCCCCCGGGACAAAGACUGACGCUCAGGUGCGAAAAGCGUGGGGAGCAAAACAGGAUUAGAUACCCUGGUAGUCCACGCCGGUAAACGAUGUCGACUUGGAGGUUGUGCCCUUGAGGGCGUGGCUUCCGGAGCUAACGCGUUAAGUCGACCGCCUGGGGAGUACGGCCGCAAGGUUAAAACUCAAAUGAAUUGACGGGGGCCCGCACAAGCGGUGGAGCAUGUGGUUUAAUUCGAUGCAACGCGAAGAACCUUACCUACUCUUGACAUCCAGAGAACUUAGCAGAGAUGCUUUGGUGCCUUCGGGAACUCUGAGACAGGUGCUGCAUGGCUGUCGUCAGCUCGUGUUGUGAAAUGUUGGGUUAAGUCCCGCAACGAGCGCAACCCUUAUCCUUUGUUGCCAGCGGUUAGGCCGGGAACUCAAAGGAGACUGCCAGUGAUAAACUGGAGGAAGGUGGGGAUGACGUCAAGUCAUCAUGGCCCUUACGAGUAGGGCUACACACGUGCUACAAUGGCGCAUACAAAGAGAAGCGACCUCGCGAGAGCAAGCGGACCUCAUAAAGUGCGUCGUAGUCCGGAUUGGAGUCUGCAACUCGACUCCAUGAAGUCGGAAUCGCUAGUAAUCGUGGAUCAGAAUGCCACGGUGAAUACGUUCCCGGGCCUUGUACACACCGCCCGUCACACCAUGGGAGUGGGUUGCAAAAGAAGUAGGUAGCUUAACCUUCGGGAGGGCGCUACCACU